rnacentral:rRNA from 1 species
UCCUACGGGGGGCAGCAGUGGGGAAUAUUGCACAAUGGGGGAAACCCUGAUGCAGCGACGCCGCGUGAGUGAAGGAGUAUCUCGGUACGUAAAGCUCUAUCAGCAGGGAAGAAAAAAAGUCUUUGGCUUUGGACGGUACCUGACUAAGAAGCCCCGGCUAACUACGUGCCAGCAGCCGCGGUAAUACGUAGGGGGCAAGCGUUAUCCGGAUUUACUGGGUGUAAAGGGAGCGUAGACGGCAGCGCAAGUCUGGAGUGAAAUGCCGGGGCUCAACCCCGGAACUGCUUCGGAAACUGGGCAGCUAG